GAUGUUAAAAACGUGAGCACAGCUCUGUAAGUGCUUUCUCCAAGAGACGACACUCACAGACUGUAUCUCCGCUAUGAUGUGGAUCCAAUCCAACCUUCCUCUGAGCUAAGCCAUAUCCUGGUCUGGCUACAUGUGCCAUUUGGCGCCUUCCAUCAGGGUUAAACAAACUGGAUACAUGAAUGGAACCUCAUGUGAAGGAACAUUUCAUUUGCAAACCUUAAUUUACAAUGGAAUAUCUGACUGAUCAUCAAGCAAACAGGGGAUCAGUUGAGGGUACUCCAGCUUAGCUAUG
ensembl:lncRNA